AGAGGGAUAGCUGGGUCAAAUGGUGGUUCCAUUCCCAGAUUUCCAAGGAAUCUCCAUACUGGUUUCCAUAUUGGCUGCACCAAUUUGCAGUCCCACCAGCUAU
rnacentral:pre_miRNA from 1 species